rnacentral:ncRNA from 1 species
AAAAGACUUAGUCCUAACCUUACCGUUAAUUGUUGCCAAACAUAUACAUGCAAGUAUCCGCGCCCCAGUGUAAAUGCCCCCAGCUAUCUCACCAAGACAAAAGGAGCAGGUAUCAGGCACACACCCUAACUGUAGCCUAAGACACCUUGCUUUGCCACACCCCCACGGGUAUUCAGCAGUAAUUAACAUUAAGCAAUAAGUGCAAACUUGACUUAGUUAUGGCAAAAUCCAGGGUUGGUUAAUCUUGUGCCAGCCGCCGCGGUCAUACAAGAAGCCCAAAUUAACAGUAGCACGGCGUAAAGAGUGGCAUGAGGAUAUCCCCACCACCAGGACCAAAGCGCAGCUAAGCUGUCAUAAGCAUUAGCUGCGUUAAAGAACGCCUACAAAAUGAUCCUAGUUUAACGUGACUUACUUACCGCCACGAAAGCUGAGGUACAAACUGGGAUUAGAUACCCCACUAUGCUCAGCCCUAAAUCUCGACACCACCCUAAAACUAAAGUGUCCGCCUGAGAACUACGAGCACAAACGCUUAAAACUCUAAGGACUUGGCGGUGCCUCAAACCCACCUAGAGGAGCCUGUUCUAUAAUCGAUAAUCCGCGAUACACCCGACCACUCUUUGCCUACACAGCCUACAUACCGCCGUCGCCAGUUUACCUAACUUGAAAGAGCAAUAGUGAACACAACAGCCCUAACCACGCUAACAAGACAGGUCAAGGUAUAGCCUACGGAGUGGAAGAAAUGGGCUACAUUUUCUAACCUAGAGAACUACGAAAAGGGGCAUGAAACUUCCCCUAGAAGGCGGAUUUAGCAGUAAAGCUGGGCAAUAAUACCCCCUUAAAACAGGCCCUGAGGUACGUACAUACCGCCCGUCACCCUCCUCAUAAGCCACACACAUAUGUAACUUAACACCAACUCUGGCCAAAGACGAGGCAAGUCGUAACAAGGUAAGUGUACCGGAAGGUGUACUUAGCAUACC